UUGGAGGGCAAGUCUGGUGCCAGCAGCCGCGGUAAUUCCAGCUCCAAUAGCGUAUAUUAAAGUUGUUGCAGUUAAAAAGCUCGUAGUUGAAUUUCGGGAUCAUCUUGUCGGUCGUGCCUCGGUACGCACUGGCAUUAUUGGUUCCUCCCUUCUGAAGAACCGCGAUGUCAUUAAUUUGGUGUCGUGGGAAAUCAGGACUGUUACUUUGAAAAAAUUAGAGUGUUUAAAGCAGGCGCACGCUUGAAUACAUUAGCAUGGAAUAAUGAAAUAGGACGUUUGAUUCUAUUUUGUUGGUUUCUAGGAUCGACGUAAUGAUUAAUAGGGAUAGUUGGGGGCAUUAGUAUUCAAUUGUCAGAGGUGAAAUUCUUGGAUUUAUUGAAGACUAACUACUGCGAAAGCAUUUGCCAAGGAUGUUUUCAUUAAUCAAGAACGAAAGUUAGGGGAUCGAAGACGAUCAGAUACCGUCGUAGUCUUAACCAUAAACUAUGCCGACUAGGGAUCGGACGAUGUUAAUUUUAUAAUGGCUCAUUCGGCGCCUUACGGGAAAC
rnacentral:rRNA from 1 species